AAUCGAUAAGUUUAAUCUCUCUGUACUAGUAUAACUCACCUGUAUAUGGAGAACUUUGAACUCACUUUUUAUGGCUAUUGUUUCUUCUAGUGGGUUGAAUGCAAUAAAUGCAAAUGUUGGCAGCAUCAAAUAUGUGCACUCUACAACGAUAAAAGAGAUUUGGACUACAGAGCUGAGUAUACAUGUCCUAUAUGCCGCUUAAAGGAAAUUGGAAAUGGAAUGCAUGUACCCUUACCGAAGACAGCGGCUAUGUUUAGUGCUAAUGACUUGCCGAGAACCAUGCUUAGCGACCACAUAGAGAGCAGACUUUUUAAGCGUCUCUGGCAAGAGAAUGAAGAUUGGGCAAAAGCAGGGUAUAAGAAUCUUGAUGAGGUUUUCGAAGCAGAAAGUCUUUCUGUUAGAGUUGUGUUAUCCGUUGA